rnacentral:rRNA from 1 species
GACGAACGCUGGCGGCGUGCUUAACACAUGCAAGUCGAGCGGUAAGGCCCUUUCGGGGGUACACGAGCGGCGAACGGGUGAGUAACACGUGGGUGACCUGCCCUCAGCUCUGGGAUAAGCCUGGGAAACCGGGUCUAAUACUGGAUAUGACUCCAUGACGCAUGUUGUGGGGUGGAAAGCCUUGUGCGGCUGAGGAUGGGCCCGCGGCCUAUCAGCUUGUUGGUGGGGNGAUGGCCUACCAAGGCGACGACGGGUAGCCGGCCUGAGAGGGCGACCGGCCACACUGGGGCUGAGACACGGCCCAGACUCCUACGGGAGGCAGCAGUGGGGAAUCUUGCGCAAUGGGCGAAAGCCUGACGCAGCGACGCCGCGUGAGGGAUGACGGCCU